rnacentral:rRNA from 1 species
AGAGUUUGAUCCUGGCUCAGGAUGAACGCUAGCGACAGGCUUAACACAUGCAAGUCGAGGGGCAGCGGGGAGUAGCAAUACUUCGCCGGCGACCGGCGCACGGGUGAGUAACACGUGUGCAACCAACCCCGUACCGGGAGAUAACCCGCGGAAACGUGGACUAACAUCCCAUAAGACUCUAGAGCCGCAUGGCUCUGGAUUUAAAAUUCCGGUGGUACGGGACGGGCACGCGCGACAUUAGGUAGUUGGCGGGGUAACGGCCCACCAAGCCGACGAUGUCUAGGGGUUCUGAGAGGAAGGUCCCCCACACUGGAACUGAGACACGGUCCAGACUCCUACGGGAGGCAGCAGUGAGGAAUAUUGGUCAAUGGGCGAGAGCCUGAACCAGCCAAGUCGCGUGAGGGAAGAAUGGUCCAUGGCCUGUAAACCUCUUUUGUCAAGGAAGAAUAAAUUGCACGUGUGCGAUCUUGCCAGUACUUGACGAAUAAGCAUCGGCUAACUCCGUGCCAGCAGCCGCGGUAAUACGGGGGAUGCGAGCGUUAUCCGGAUUUAUUGGGUUUAAAGGGCGCGUAGGCGGGACGCCAAGUCAGCGGUAAAAGACUGCAGCUAAACUGUAGCACGCCGUUGAAACUGGCGCCCUCGAGACGAGACGAGGGAGGCGGAACAAGUGAAGUAGCGGUGAAAUGCUUAGAUAUCACUUGGAACCCCGAUAGCGAAGGCAGCUUCCCAGGCUCGAUCUGACGCUGAUGCGCGAGAGCGUGGGUAGCGAACAGGAUUAGAUACCCUGGUAGUCCACGCCGUAAACGAUGCUCACUGGAUCUUGGCGAUACACCGCCAGGGUUCAAGCGAAAGUAUUAAGUGAGCCACCUGGGGAGUACGUCGGCAACGAUGAAACUCAAAGGAAUUGACGGGGGCCCGCACAAGCGGAGGAACAUGUGGUUUAAUUCGAUGAUACGCGAGGAACC